UGCGGAAGGAUCAUUACCAAGAACCACACAGAAAAGGGAGGCAAAGGGGCCUACAGGGCUAGUAGCUUAUACGUUGUUGAACGUCCUGCCUGGACCCGGAGCCGCCCCCAUCUAAACCCUCUGCGUACCUGUCCCUUCUUGCUUCCCCCGGCAUCUCGUCGGGGGGAGGUAACAACCAAAACUCUCUGUGAAUCAAACAGCCGUCAGAAUUAUAAAACAAACAAAAGUUAAAACUUUCAACAACGGAUCUCUUGGUUCCCACAUCGAUGAAGAACGCAGCGAAAUGCGAUAAGUAAUGUGAAUUGCAGAAUUCAGUGAAUCAUCGAAUCUUUGAACGCACAUUGCGCCCCCUGGUAUUCCGGGGGGCAUGCCUGUUCGAGCGUCAUAAAAACCUCCUCCCCCUUCGGGUUUUGUUACUAUCGUUGGGGGGUUUUGGCCUAAUGGGAUAGCGAUUGGCAAUUCGUUUCCCAAUGUCCUAAAUAGACGUAGACCCGCCUCCAGAUGCGACAGCACCGAGGCCAUCAACCGUGGAGUUAUGGGAUAUAACAGGCUUGCAGUAAAAUGCUCACCUCUCUCCACACGCCGAUGGCACGACAGUUGCAGUUGCGGGCGUAAAUUGGAGCCCUUUUCAGGACCCUUGUGGCCUAGCAUCCACCAUACAUAAUUUGACCUCGGAUCAGGUAGGGAUACCCGCUGAACUUAAGCAUAUC
rnacentral:rRNA from 1 species